GAUAGCAGAGGAAUUCCACGGAGUCAUGUCAGUCGAUCCUGAGCGACCAUUUCAAAAAUAUCUGAAACUUUGCACAGUUUUUCAAUUUCAUAUAAAUCGCCAUUUUUUUAUAUUAAACCUUCAUAUUCACUCACGACUAACUUUUCAAAAGGGUGUAUGCGAAAAUAGUUCUAAAAUAUUCUAAAAGCUGUACAGCAAAAACGGAUUGUUCGAUUGUUAUAAAUUUUUCAGCAAAGUUAGAUAACUAAAUGAUGAUUCCUUAGAAAAUAUACACUGUAAAAAAUUUCUUUUUCUACUUUGAAAAAAUAUGAUAUUUGUCACAAAAACUCAAAUAUCUCAAAACCCUAUCUUUUUACCAACUUCAAUUUUUUAGGGGAAAUGGCCCAUUAUUUCAGCUAUCUACCAUAAAAUUUUGGUGAUGGUAAACUGAUAAACAAAAAAGUUAUGACAUUUCAAACAUUUCACAAUUUUUACAAUUAGUAACAAAACAAAUUUUUUUUCUGUGUAAAUUAUUUCGAGAAUUAUAUUUUGAUGCUGAUUUUAUUGUAAAGGCUACCGCCUGAAUUAAACAAGUUGUUUUCAUGAUACUUUAGUUUGAUUAUUCGUAAUUACUAUAGUAUCUAUUUGAAACUUAGACGCGAUCCAGUGUUGUGAUCAAAAAUAUUGAGAUUGUCAUACUUUUUAUUGUACGUGACUGGUGAAAAAAUCCCUUGAUAGUGUUGAAAAGCUGUUGAUUAUAAGAAAAAUGGAAUUGAAUUUAUUUUUAAGACAAAAGCUGUAUAAUAAAAGUUUUUUUAUACGCGUAUACGUCUAGUUUAUCCGCAAAAAAAAUCCCUCUUACACACUUAUUUCUGAAUUGCCUGUUCGGUACUUUUUUGACGAGAUUAUAACAGCAGUACGAUCUCGGUAGUUUCGGUAAUCGAUUUUACUGAGGCUCAGUAAAACAACUGUCAAAAUCGUAUGGAAAAGGUAAACAAUGCAUUUUUGCUGAACGAGUUCGGUGCUCAGCAGUUUUAAUCUCGUCAAAAAAUUACCGAACUCGGUAAUCAAAAUUAAGUGUGUAGAGAACAGACUUUAUGAUCGGAAGAAUGCGAGUAACUUCAACAACAACAAAUGCAUAAGAGGUACAUACCACAGACAAACAGACGAAACGCCUAGAACAAUUUUAGUGAAAAUUCAUCGCCCAGUUCACACUAUCACCACCUGGUGGAAAUGUUUCACGAAACACUGCGUUGUGCAGUAUCGUCAUCAGAAGGCGCUAGUGUGAAACGUCAAACGCAAAGAAAAACGAUGGCGCUCUUCUUGUUAUGAAAGCCACAACCAAGAUUCAAAAUGAUCGUUGAAGGCGUGGUCAAUGAAAAUUUCGCCAGUGUUACGUUUGUUUGUCUGUAUACAUACCUGACAAUGCUCACGAAAAAAACAAAAAAAUACUACCGCUAUGAAUAUUAAAAAUUGUAUAGUAUUUUUUUUCUUCAGCCACCAACACCAAACAAGUAAGUUAAAAUUAAUAAGUGAUUUUGUUUAUUAUAAUCUAACGAACAAGAUGAACAAUCGCUUUCUCAAAGGUCUUCAACUCAACGCUCUCUUGUAGACCGUUUGAUGAAAAAAAAUGUUCAAAAGAGUUACGAAAUCUCACCGAAAGCACCAUAGAUAAACUGAAAGAGACUGGUUAUGCCCAAAUGUCCACAUUGUGUACAAAAUUACGCAUUUGCACGUCCUGCCGUCUAGAAUUUGACAAACGAGCCAUCUGUAUAUCAUCGGUAAAGCAGGGCGCAGGAAGUUCGAAAACGACAACAACUGAGAAAUUGCCAUCAGCGACAUCUGUUUAAACAAUUUAAUUACGCCCCUUUUCAAAAAUGCCCUGUAAUAUUCUUCAACAUCUAUACCCAUUUCAAUAUUUUUAACGUUGCAAAACACGCUUUCAACAUUCAUCUUGAAGAAGAGGGAAAACACUUGUCCUCAAAUGUAACAGCAAAUUAAUGAAUAAUCGACUAAUGCGCGGAGGGCGUGAUAAAAUCGGAACAUUACGGUACAUAGUAUAUUAUAUUAUAUGUAUAUAUAAUAUAUAAUAAAAUCAACUUGUUUUACUCACGCAAGGCCAUUAACAAUAAAAUCAGCAUCAAACUUCAAUUUCCGGCCGAAAUAAUUUACACUAAAAAAAAUUAUUACUAAAUGUGAAAAUUGUGAAAUGUUUGAAUUGUCAUAACUUUUUUGUUUAUUUUCAUGGUAGAUUGCUAAUACAAUGGACCGUUUUCUCUAAAAAAAUACGUUGAUAAAAAGAUAGGGUUUUGAGAUAUUUGAGUUUUUGUGACAAAAAUGAUAUUUUUUAAUGUUAAAAAAGAUUUUUUUCACAGUGUAUAUUUUCUUAGGAAUCGCCAUUUAGUUAUCUAACUUUGCUGAACAAUAAAAUCAGCAUCAAAUCGCGAUUCCCGGCCGAAAUAAUUUACACAGAAAAUUUUUUUUUACUAAAUGUAAAAAUUGUGAAAUUUUUGAAAUGUUAUAACUUUUUUGUUUUUUAGUUUACCAUCACCAAAUUUUUAUGGUAGAUUGCUAAUACAAUGGACCGUUUUCCCUAAAAAAUUCAAGUUGGUAAAAAGAUAGGGGUUUGAGAUAUUUGAGUUUUUGUGACAAAAAUGAUGUUUUUCAAUGAUAAAAUAGAUUUUUUUUCACAGUGUAUAUUUUCUUAGAAAUCACCAUUUAGCUAUCUAACUUUGCUGAAAAAUUCAUAACAAUCGAACAAUCCGUUUUUGCUGUGCAUAUUUUUGAAUAUUUUUGAACCAUUUUCACAUACACCCUUUUGAAAAGUUAGUCGUGGCUCUAAAUAAAAAUUUGAUAUCGAAAAAUGGCGAUUUAGAUGGAACUGAAAAACUGUGCAAAGUUUCAGUUCAAUAGAAAAUCAUGAAUUAAAAAUUUUCCUUAAUUUUGAUGCUGUUGCUUGGAAUCGCUCAGCAUGCCUCUCAGAUAAGUGUUCUUAAAACGCACUUUCACAGUUAUUAGAUAAAAAUCUUUUUGCUGACUAAGUAAUUGCGCUUUCGUUUUCGUAUAUCGUGUGGAAGACACAAAGAUAUUCCAAAACCUCCGAAACAAAAAAAAUCCUGAAAAGUUUUAGACGGAACACCUUUAACUCGGUCUUACUGAAUAGCUCCGCGUCUACCGGCUGCGUUAUAAGGACCCAUUAGACAUUUCCGGUAUUACUCUAACCACAUUCGAGCUUCUACCCUUUACAUCCCAUUCGAGUAAAAUGUAGGUCUCUAAUUCAAUUAUUAAAGCCUCCUAUUGUCUGUCGUCUUCGUAAUCCCAACAACCAUAUGCGCAAGCAACCAUUUCUGGGCAAUUAUUGCAGCCAUUUGGAAAAUCACAGUUCCACGCUCCUUCGCAGCAGCAGCAACAACAACAGCUCUCAACCCGCAGUAAUUGCACUUCUUCAGGAAACACCAAGUGACCUACAGAACUGCAUUUCAACGUCAGUCGUUACAAUAAGCGCGUUUCACUUAAUUUGAUCCAUUCAAAACGUGAACGAACGCGCGCACUCGCACUUACAGACACACACACACAUAUACCUAACCGAGUUUCCCAUGGAGGAACUACUGUCUUAAAGGUGCAAUUGUGAUGAUUAAACAAAAUAAAUAAAACUGAUGAAUGGAUGUUUCUGUUUCUGCCACUGCCACAAGUCUGAAUGGUUGUUACAACCAGGCACGGGGCCCGGUAAAACCAAACAGAAAUGAAUGCGAACUACUACUGACUGGUGCAGCAAUAUGCGCGGUAUGGCGGGAAAAGGUGUUUGCGACAAUAGAUCGUUACUGUCAGUUAUCAUCAAUUUGAAUUGUUCUUUCGAAACUGUUUGGUUAAAUAUUUGUUUUAACCCUUUGAAGCCGAAAUUUUUCCAAGCGUUAUUAUAGAGAUUUUUUACGUAUUUCUGUGGUUUUGGUGCUCAACAGUAUAGAAAGGGUAGAAUAUGAUGCAGAAUAUAUUUUUGGAUAUUGUAGGUCAUCUGAACUGUUCUUGAGUUUAGAUCCUAAAGUCUACGGGUGUAACGGUAACUUCAUUCAUUAUACAUAUAAGGCUACGAUUUGUAGUCUAUCAUGUCGAGUAAGUCUUCUGAAAGUUCAAUGGACAUCAUCAGAUCGGCUGGGGUCACUCAAACUAUUGUGAUGUUUGAAAUCUAGUAUAUGCAGAAAUUGAAGUUUCUGUUUUGGCUAUAUAGAGUAUGUUGUAUAACACUAGUUUACAGCAUUUUUGAACUCGGUAAGCUGAUGAUCGUUUUUGGUGUAGAAUCAUGCCCCGAGUUCGAAAACGCGAAGGAAAAAAAUUACAGUAGAGCGGAAAUUUUUUCGACUUUCCAUACAAGGUCGAUGAUUUGAAAUCGAUUUUUGUUCUAUUUAUAAGCAAAGUCGCUUACUUCACAUAUCUCAUCCUCCGUAACCAUGGUUCCGAUUGAGCUGAAUUUUUUACUGUAACUAGCCUACAUAUGAUAUGUCAAAUAAACGAUGAGAAAGAAUUUUUAAAUUGUUUUUAUCUUAUUGAAAAAAAUACAUUUCUUCAUAUAUUUUUGGAAAUUUUGCUAAAAUUUAAGGAGAUUGUCCCCAAAAUUCGUCAAUAUCUUGAUCAAUCUAACGCAAAAACUGCAUUCAGAUGAUCGAAUGGUAUUAUAUUCAGCUUUUACUUUAUGGAAAAAGAUUUAAAUUUGAUUGAACAAAACGCAAGAUAUUUGAUUUUUUUUAAAUUCCAUAUUUUAAAAAGUUGUUAAACUCGAUGUUGAGCUAAAACUCAAAAACUGUUCUACUUUAAAUUUUUUGAAGCACGGUUUCGAAAUCAGCGCUAAAUUAUGCUUCAAAAAUUUUGGUCGUUGACAGAAGUUCACGACUUUCGUUUUAUUUUGUAAACUAGUGUAAUCUAUUAAACUUACUGGAGCUCAAAGAAUACAAUCAGAAACUAUGACAUCGGGAUAUUCAGAAUCGUACUCACUGUCCAGCAAUAUGGACAAUAUGCAACAUGGAGUCUACAGCCGUAAUAAUAUCUUUUUGGAUAUUCUGAGUUACACAACAUUACUAAUUGUAAUGAUUGUAUCUACUUCAAUUAUUUAGGCUUAACAACAAAUGAGCAUGAUCAUGAGCAUAGGUGACCGCACACUUCGUAGUUGCUACUCCGUGAUUGACUAGAGCUAGCGGAAUUGCACAGAGAACCAAUUGAUGGGGCUUGGGAUUAGCACACCUUCUUCAAUGUACGCGUUCCGAGUGUAGUAACGGAACUGCAUCGUUUGGUGGUUGAAUUAAGAAUGAAUUAUUUAUCCCAAGAUGUCAGUACAUGUUCUUUUCAAUGAUUGCUUAGAUGCUACACAGAGAACUCAAACUUUAAUAGGUCAAUAACGGCGCCGGCCACGUCCUUACGGUCAACCGGGGAAGGGAAGGGAUGCUAGUUGGACAACCGUUGCUACUAGAGGUUGUAUAUACUACUGUGCCCUCCACAGUUGUCACGGGAAGGAGUUUUUGUUAGUUGGGUUGGGAGGUAUUGGUAGUUACAUAAAUCAGGAUUCACUUUGGUAAGCGUUGCAGUCUAUGUAACCGUGAGCAUACACAAAACAUAUAUUCACAGAAUUGUGCCACCUCACAGUUUGGAGGAAUGGUGAGACCUUGAAAAUUCUUAAUAGGAAUUUAGAGAAAGCCUUAUGAAACCAAAGAUAUCUUGCGUCACCUCGCAAUUAGACCUGGUGAACCAAUGUACAAUGUUACUUGCUUUUAAUACUAUGGACACAAAAUAUUGAGACAAAAUUUUGUGUCGACACUAAUUAUGACGAAACGUACUUAUUAAGGAAAACAACACUGAAACAUAUUGGAAAACAAAAUACUGAGGCCAGCACCUUUCAGUGGCGGUUGGCGGACUGUACAGUAAUAUAGGAAAAUUUUAUUGAAAACAUGUGAAUAGCGAGAAUUUGCGCCGACACUUGAAGUGGCGAUCUUUGAAAUGCUUGUAGUGUAUAUAUACGAAAGAUGAGUAUGAGUAAUAUACACAAACAGAUACAUGAUAGACAAAGUGGAAGAGAUAAUUUCCAAGAUGCAACCUUCGACAUUGACAACAAAAACCAAGUCGACACUCAUGGUGACGAACUAUACAAAUUUGAUUAAAAAAUUUUCAAAGCUACAUACACACAUAAUGAAUCAAUAAAAUAAUGAAAAUACAGAAAGAAAACACCGAAGAAGCAACAAGGAACAAACUCACCAGAUAAUCCCUCUGGCACGCAUGUUCACUCUAUUAAAUCACUCGCUUGGGCUCCCGAUUGAUGGGUUACAUGCUAUAGCACACACAACAUAACAGAACUGAACUAGAAUCGCAAUCAUGGCCCAGAAUCAGCAUCUCCCCACGCACACUUACUAAGCUAUCAUCGCGCGCUUUCCCAAAACGAACCGCCGUUUGCGAGGGAACUAAAGAAGAAAAAAAACCACAUACACGACGACUCGCGCACCGACGAACCCGAGCUAUCACUUUUCACUGAAAUGACGCAAUACUAGUAGGAGCCCGACUAGAAGCACCUUACACUAACAAGACUAUAACACAACUAUGACAACUGUUGUUCGAAAUAACAUAAAUUAAUAUAUUUUUGUUAAUUCGUAACAUAAAUUCGUAACACAUUAAAUGUUAUGUUUGUAAUAUUUUUUGUAUAUUUUUGUGUAAUAUAAUAGUGUUCAUCAAAAUUUAUUAAAUUAACACAAAUUUAACACAUUAACACAAAAUAUCACGAAAUGUUGAUGGUUUUUGUUAUUUUGGUCACUCAAGCCAAAAGAUUUAUAACGAAAUUUAUAACAAAUUUGUUCUGAAAAAAAAACAGAAUUGUUAUAAUUUAGUUAUUGUUAGCCAAGUUUAAUCUAACAAAGUUUAUCAUAAUCUUUUUAUAAUUAUAUCUCUAAUUGUUUGUUUUAAGCCCAGUUUUGUGUUAAAAGAAAUCGCUAAAGAAAGUUCUCGACUGGUUCUUGGUAGAAAACUUUCCACAGUGGCUAUUUAAAUUGGCAUUUCUUCGCAACUGCGUACUGAGAAAAAUGGUUUCUUGAGCGAUUCAGACAAAGAAUAUCCCAUGCAUCAAGAUAGGCCAAAACUUUUUUCUGAACUGCAAACAGCCCUUUAACUAGAACGUGUUUUGAUAGAUUUUUUGUUAUUAUUACUAAUAACGGUACAUGUUUUAUAACAACCGUUGUUACAAAAAUCAUUGUAACAAAAUAACAUAACCUUACGUUAGCAAAAACUGUAAAAGUUAAUAGUAACAUAACCUGUAAUGAAUUUGUUUUUCCCAUCUAAUAUUACGAAUAGAGGGUCUUGUUUCCCGGACUGAAAAAAAUCCUGGGAUUCGGGAUUUUUAUUUUUCAAAUCCCGGGAUUUCCCGGGAUCUCGGGAUAAAUCCAAAUUUUCCAAAAACCAAAAAAAAAAACAUGCAUAAAAUGUGUUUCCAAACAUAUUUUUUGAUUUUUUGAUUUAUUUGAACUUGAGAAAAGGAUGAUAUUUCGCGAAAAAAAAAACAAAUAGCCCCAUUUAAACCAUGUAAGACAUGACAAAGAUCUGGAUCAAGGUAAGUAAAAGGAAGGUAAUCCAAUAUGCUAAAUCAUACAAUCCGCCAUAUUGGAAUUUGGAAUGACAGCUGGCAAGUUUGUUUUGAUUUGGAAGUUUAUCAAUGAUAGCAAGCCAUGACCGAAAAGGUCACUUCAUGAUGAUUUCAACCAACGAGCUUGUGUCCUAAUUUAUUGCAUCCAAAUAGCAUUAGCAUUAGCAUUAGCAUUAGCAUUAAGCGAGUCGCACAAAUUCGUAGGUGGUACAGUCCUAGACCGCUGUUAUGAGGGUUGCCUCCUUCCCGUCCGAACCAAAGCACAAAGAUUUGGGACUAAUCUCUGACUCUUAGACAAGACUGACGCAAUCCUCCAAUGGUCGAGCACUGUCCUGGCCACGUCCUUGCGACUGCUGAGGGAUGGGGAAGGAUGGUUAGUUUUGGACACCUAUGAAAAAUGUAGACAACUCUACGAUCUCUCAGGCCUAGGUGUCACGGGACUUUGGGUGUUGUUAGUGGAAGGGUAAACUCCAAAGAAUACGCUUGGUCAACGUUCAGGCACACCAUGGUAAGUCUUCUUCGAAUCAGUUGUCUGACCGAUUCAUCAUGGCUUCCUCGUCGUCUUGAUGGCAUUUGGUUGAAUUACUAGAUUCUUCGGUUGAUAAUCUGAAAUAUAAAAUAAUAUUAACAACGUACGUCAAAUAAGCUACAGUUACAUAUUUUUACAAUAUUAUUUAUAUCAUGCGAUAAAUUUACCUCAAACCUGCUGAAAUAAAAUGUUGAUUAGCAGUACAUUUAAACAAAAUUAACUACAAAACACAAAAAAAAGCAUCAAACUUUGAUCUUGGAGUAUUUAUAAAUACGGUAAAUAUCAAGAUCAAAAUUUGAUUUGGUAGAUCUUACACCGCAACGCACCAUUCUAAGGUGAUCUACCCACGUUACGGGUUUCCUAAUUUAUUGCAUCCAAAUAAUGCAAUAACCCCAAUGGUAUGCUCUAGACUAGAGAAAUAUUACCCGUCCCGUGCGAAACUUCUCUGAAACCCUGCAGAGUAAUCUUGGCAACAGUUUGUUACACAUAAAGCCUCCGGGUAAAAUUCCCAACUGCUGCCGAAGGUACACCAUCACGCCUUUCCUCAAGUUUCUGAUCUGUUGGUUUUUCUUUAAGCUUUCGGCAGUAAAGAUUCGGCAUGCGUAUAUGGCUAAAGUUGAGCGUAUGGCGUGAAUUUAUCACAAUAAUUAACUUGCAAUUCUACAACAAGCUCGACAACAAGCACCUGUCUUGCCACUGCGGAAAUUUGUUUCACUUGUUUGGAAGUAAAUAACAACCCGUAGCAACCCUAGCAACCUCACAGAAACCGAUAGAGUAGCGCGUAAACAAACUCGCCAGCAAUCAACUCCUACACCCCCGCCAUAAACCUCUCUCCGCGUCUACUUACUGCUUAUAUGCUAGUACCUUCCAUUAAAUUUACCUUGAUCUGGAUGGAAUUCGUACUCAAUUUAUCGUUGAUUUUUUUAAACUUAUUUCAAACUAUAUUUUCAUUCCUAGAGGAACUAAUUAACAAAGACUCCACGGAAUUUAAGGGGAAAUUAUUUCAUAGAUCCAAGUGGCCUCUCCAUAUGAUAAGAGCGGUAAUAUGACCCAUUUUCUAUUAGCUUUCAACUGCUUUUUACAGAACUUAGCUAAAAUAUCUAGAAAAAAAGUUAUUAAGUAAAUUAAUCCUUGGUGUCAUCGACCAAAAGUUUGGGGUCACCCCUCAAUAUGAUGUAUCGGCCAAAAGUUUGGGGUCACUUUCGUAAAACAUGGAAAAGUGAUUUGGUGAUAUCUUCGUCAUCUGUAGUUCAAUUUUAAUUCUUUUUGGCUCAUUUCAAAGAUAAUUAACUAAAUUUACGUUUGAUAUCUUCAACUUAACGUAUUUAACGAUUUUUGUAUAUAAAAAUGUUAUGUAAAGUUAGCACAUUUUACCACGCUUCAAAAAAUGAGGCAACUUUACGUUAAGUUUUAGUGUGUAAAUUUCAACAAAUAUGUGUGGUUCAAUGUCUAUGCAGUAAGUAUCAUUCAUUUUGUUUCAAAUAAGCCAAGAAGAAUUAAAAUUGAAUGAAAGAUGACAAAGAUAUCAACAAAUCACUUUUCCAUGUUUUACGAUAGUGACCCCAAACUUUUGGCCGAUACAUCAUUUUGAGGGGUGACCCCAAACUUUUGGUCGAUGACAUCAAGGAUUAAUUUACUUAAUAACUUUUUUUCUAGAUAUUUUAGCUAAGUUCUGUAAAAAGCAGUUGAAAGCUAAUGAGGAAUUCCACAGAGUCAUGUCAGUCGAUCCUGAGCGACCAUUUCAAAAAUAUCUGAAACUUUACCCAGUUUUUCAACUUCAUCUAAAUCACCAUUUUUUUAUAUUAAACCUUCAUAUUCACUCACGACUAACUUUUCAAAAGGGUGUAUGCGAAAAUAGUUCAAAAAUAUUCUAAAAGCUGUACAGCAAAAACGGAUUGUUCGAUUGUUAUGAUUUUUUCAGCAAAGUUAGAUAACUAAAUGAAGAUUCCUUAGAAAAUAUACACUGUAAAAAAUUUCUUAUUUUACUUUAAAAAAAUAUGAUCUUUGUCACUAAAACUCAAAUAUCUCAAAACCCUAUCUUUUUACCAACGUCAAUUUUUUAGGGAAAAUAGCCCAUUAUAUCAGCUAUCUACCAUAAAAUUUUGGUGAUGGUAAACUGAUAAACAAAAAAGUUAUGACAUUUCAAACAUUUCACAAUUUUUACAUUUACUAACAAAAAAAAUUUUUUUUUCUGUGUAAAUUAUUUCGUGAAUUAUAUUUUGAUGCUGAUUUUAUUGUAAAGGCUACCGCCUGAAUUAAACAAGUUGUUUUCAUGAUAUUUUUGUUGGUUUAUUCAUAAUUACUAUAGUAUCUAUUUGAAAGUUAGACGCGAUCCAGUGUUGUGAUAAAAAAUAUUGAGAGUGUCAUACUUUUUAUUGUACGUGACUGAUGAAAAAAUCCCUUGAUAAGCCUAGUUUGGUGUUUGAAAGGAAUCGCUCAAGAAAUUUCUUGACCGAUUCCUGGCAGAAACUUUCCACUGUGACUGCCAUUUGAACUGUCAUUUCUUCGCAACUGCGUACUGUGAUCGAAGAAAAACGAUUUCUUGGGCGAUUCAGGCAAGGAAUUUCCCAUGCAUCAAGAUAGGCCGAAAAAUUCCUUCUGAACUGCAAACAGCGCUAUAGUUGUGAAAAGCUGUUGAUUAUAAGAAAAAUGGAAUUAAACUUAUUUUUAAGACAAAAGCUGUAUAAUAAAAGUUUUAUAUACGCGUAUACGUCUAGUUUAUCUGCAAAAAAAAAUACCUCUUAGAGAACAGACUUUAUGAUCGGAAGAAUGCUAGUAACUUCAACAACAACAAAUGCAUGAGAGGUACAUACCACAGACAAACAGACGAAACGCUUAGAACAAUGUUCGUGAAAAUCCAUCGCCCAGUUCACACUACCACCACCUGGUGGAAAUGUUUCACGAAACAUUGCGUUGUGCAAUAUCGUCAUCAGAAGACGCUAGUGUGAAACGUCAAACGCAAAGAAAAGCGAUGGGCGCUCUUCUGGUUAUGAAAGCCACAAGCAAGAUUCAAAAUGAUCGUUAAAGGCGUGGUCAAUGAAAAUUUCGUCAGUGUUACGUUUGUUUGUCUGUAUACAUACCAUGACAAUGCACACGAAAAAGCAAAAAAAUACUACCGCUAUGGAUAUUAAAAAUUUUAUAGUAAUUUUUUCUUCAGCCAAGCAAACAACACCAAACUAGUCAGUUAAAACUAAUAAGUGAUUUUGUUUAUUAUAAUCUAACGAACAACAUGAACAGUCGCUUUCUCAAAGGUCUUCAACUCAACGCUCUCUUGUAGACCGUUUGAUGAAAAAAAAAAUGUUCAAAAGAGUUACGAAAUCUCACCGAAAGCACCAUAGAUAAACUGAAAGAGACUGGUUAUGCCCAAAUUGAAUACAAAUUUACGCAUUUGCACGUCCUGCCGUCUGGACUUUGACAAACGAGCCAUCUGUAUAUCAUCGGUAAAGCAGGGCGCAGGAAGUUCGUAAACGACAACAACUGAAAAAUUGCCAGAAGUGCUAAGUGCAGAGAGUCAUGCCACCGUACCAUCAGUGAUAUCUGUUUAAACAAUUUAAUCACGCCUCUUUUCAUAAAUGCUUUGAAAUAUUCUUCAACAUCUAUACCCAUUUUAAUGAUUUUAACGUUGCAAAACACGCUUUCAACAUUCAUCUUGAAGAAGAGGGAAAACACGUGUCCUCAAAUGUAACAGCAAAUUAUAAUGAAUAAACGACUAAUGCGCGGAGGGCGUGAUAAAAUCGGAACAUUACUGUACAUAUAGUAUACAUAAUACAUAAUAAAAACAGCUUGUUUUACUCACGCAAUGCCAUUAACAAUAAAAUCAGUAUCAAACUGCGAUUUCCGGUCGAAAUAAUUUACACUAAAAAAAAACAUUACUAAAUGUAAAAAUUGUGAAAUGUUUGAAUUGUCAUAACUUUUUUGUGUAUUAGUUUAUCAUCACCAAAUUUUUAUGGUAGAUUGCUAAUACAAUGUACCGUUUUCCCUAAAAAAAAUUACGUUGGUAAAAAGAUAAGCUUUUGAGAUAUUUGAGUUUUUGUGAUAAAAAUUAUAUUUUUUAAUGUUAAAAAAGAUUUUUUUUUCACAGUGUAUAUUUUCUUAGGAAUCACUAUUUAGUUAUAUAACUUUGCUGAACAAUAAAAUCAGCAUCAAACUGCGAUUUUUGACCGAAAUAAUUUACACAGAAAAAAAUAUUUACCAAAUGUGAAAAUUGUGAAAUGUUUGAAAUGUUAUAACUUUUUUGUUUAUUAGUUUACCAUCACCAAAUUUUUAUGGCAGAUUGCUAAUACAAUGGACCGCCUUCUCUUAAAAAAUUACGUUGGUAAAAAGAUAGGGUUUUGAGAUAUUUGAGUUUUUGUAACAAAAAUGAUAUUUUUUAAUGUUAAAAAAGAUUUUUUUUCACAGUGUAUAUUUUCUUAGGAAUCACCAUUUAGUUAUCUAACUUUUCUGAAAAAUUCAUAGCAAUCGAACAAACCAUUUUGGCUGUGCAGAUUUUUGAAUAUUUUUGAACCAUUUUCACAUACACCCUUUUGAAAAGUUAGUCGUGAUUCAAAAUAAAAAUUUGAUAUCGAAAAAUGGCAAUUUAGAUGGAACUGAAAAACUGUGCAAAGUUUCAGUUCAAUAGAAAAUCAUGAUUUUAAAAAUUUCCUUAAUUUUGAUGCUGUUGCUUGGAAUCGCUCUAAUAGAAAAUGGGUCAUAUUACCGCUCUUAUCUUAAAAUUUGGUCGACCCAACUUCCAGCGACACUGCCGUAAGUUUAUAUUCAUUUUUUAGAAAAUUUGGCAACUUUGGGUUAAGUUUACAUACAAAUUUUUUUGAAAAAGUUUCUUUUAAAUCAUGUUCAAAGUUUCUUUGACUUAUUAUCUUUUGAAUGAAACCUAGGGUUUUGAAAUCGGACGCAAAUUGGCGGAGAUAUGGGCCUAAAAAAAUGACAUGUUUUUGAGGGGGUGACCCCAAACUUUUGAACGGGAGUGUAUAUAGAUAUAAAAAUUACAAUAAAUCGGAGAAAAUUGGGUUAAUUUGAAACUCCAUGCAUUUUGUAUGGGAUUAAAAAUUAGAGAAAAACUUUAAACCUCAUUUACUCGAAAGUGGGUUUUUGUCAUUUACACCCCUUUGCUUCAGGUGUGGGUAGAUCACCUUAGAAUGGUGCGUUGCGGCGUAAGAUCUACCACCACAUCAAAUUUCGAUCUUGUUAAUGUUUUCAUGCCUAAAGUUGCCGAUCAGUGGUGAGCAGACAUUCCAGGAUCGAGUUUUGAUGUGCUUUUUUUUAAUGUUUUGUUGCUAAUCCACAUUUUAUUUCAGGAGUAAUCAGGUAAAUUCUAUGUUUAUAAAUUCUUAUUAAUCAUGAUUAUGAUUGAUUUUCAAACAAAUGUAUAACAAAACAUACACAACACGCACUGACAUACAUUACAUAUACAUAUCUCAUCAUAUAUUGGGAAAGAAAGGGACCAUCAGGGCACCCGAUUGAAACGAUUUGGACAGGAGCUUGGAACUGCCUCCUCCUUGUUGUUAACAUUUCGUGGAUUGAGGGCGGGCUCUUCGACCCCAUCUAUUGGGAGUAUUCUGUCAAUCGAGGGCUUGAUUUUGCAGUUGCUCGUGAGAACUUUCUUCUGGAAGGAGAUUCUUUCCCCCCUGACGCGGGUUUCGCGCAAGUGUCUCUGCUUGCGGGUCCGCACAACCCUUUUUGGCUCUUCAUACAGGAGAAUGACUGAUCACUAAGAACAGCACAAUCUUGAUCAAAUCGCUUUUCAGAUUAUUCCUAUAGGAUUAUUCCUAUAGGCAGCUACAAUAUCAUCAUCAUACUAUUAUGCAAAGUAUUGCUUUUUAAUGUGAUUCCUGAUGGUUUUGGUAUCCAUAAUAUUAUAAGGAUUGUCGGGGCCCGUGGCGCAGUGGUCCACACGUUCGCUUCAUAAGCGGAUGGUCAUGGGUUCGAACCCAGCCCCGGCACUUGCAAUUUUUCGUCAGUUGCUCUUCCCGCAGAGAGCAGCUCACCCUAAAACGAAAGUACACAGCGAAUGAGUAACUUACGAAAAGACAAAGGAUUUUUCACUCAUAUUUGCGUGCGACUGGAUCAGCACAAAAAAUGUGCUGAUCCGGGUUUACACAAAUUUGCGUGAAUUUUCACACAAGUUUGCAUGAAAUCUUUUGUCUUUUCGAUCGCUGCGUGAAAGUUACUCCUUGCUCUGUGUACAUCGAUCUUUCCGUGCUGGCACCUGACCCUCUUUGGAGCAUAUGCUCUAACGGACCCGGAAAACUUGGAUAUCGGCGAACCGCAACUCAUAAUGGACGACCCCCAAUUGGACUGGAAAAGGAACAGCAGCCACACAUCAGCAUCAUCGUGUGCUCAUCAUUCUACUGUGGACAGGGUAGAAACAUGAAAGCAGCACAAAGGCACCAGUUCGAUAUAGUUUAAUUAGAAUAGCAUACAUUUAGGCGCUGUACAAUGUGUAAAGUGCAGCGUCCAAUGGACUACCUGCAUCGGUAUCCGACAGAUUCCACCGCGAGAGGCGCUUCAUGCAUAAUUGAACUCUAUCGGAAACUAAUGGAAACUGUUGAAUGUUCCGUCAAACUCCAAUAGAUGGCGACUCUAUAGUGUAAUCAAUUUUACAGUGGUUGUCCCGAAUCAGGGUUAAACUGCAGUUUAUGAAAUUUCGCUUUUGAUUGAACUUUGAAUAGAAAUUUCAAAACACCUUUUAGUACGCUGUUUUUAUUUUUAAAAUUUGUUCUAAUAAAAUGAAUUACAUGCAAUUAUUUUUAUUAAAAAUGAGCAUUAAAAAAAUAUUUAUUUUUCUUUUUGAUCUCAACUAGUGCGGUAUUAGGUGCAGUACGGUAAAGUUGCUACCACAACAUUUUGACAGAUCAUUUGUUUUGGCCAAUCAGCAUCAGCACCGCGGAGUCGCGUUCGCAUGCAGUGCAGUAGCCGAACAACACAAACGAUCGAAAACGAGGCUGAUAAAAUUUAAAAUUUAAGCAUUUUGCUUGUUUUGUGAUAAAAAAUCAUCGCGGAUGUGUUAAAAAAAGUUAUUCUACCGUUGGAAACGAUGGGCUAGACGAUGGAUACCUCGCCCACCAAGGAAAAGCCUGAAAUUUUCGCUGGAGCAGUUAACAUUUGCAGACCUGGAGUCCAAAAUCAUCGACAUCGAUGGAGAAAAAACGGCCACACAGGAGAUCAACGAAGUGCUGCAAAAAUGUACCAAGAACGGUUCGUUCUUAUUACUAAAAGCUGUACAGCAAAAACGGAUUGUUCGAUUGUUAUAAAUUUUUCAGCAAAGUUAGAUAACUAAAUGAUGAUUCCUUAGAAAAUAUACACUGUAAAAAAUUUCUUUUUCUACUUUGAAAAAAUAUGAUAUUUGUCACAAAAACUCAAAUAUCUCAAAACCCUAUCUUUUUACCAACUUCAAUUUUUUAGGGGAAAUGGCCCAUUAUUUCAGCUAUCUACCAUAAAAUUUUGGUGAUGGUAAACUGAUAAACAAAAAAGUUAUGACAUUUCAAACAUUUCACAAUUUUUACAAUUAGUAACAAAACAAAUUUUUUUUCUGUGUAAAUUAUUUCGAGAAUUAUAUUUUGAUGCUGAUUUUAUUGUAAAGGCUACCGCCUGAAUUAAACAAGUUGUUUUCAUGAUACUUUAGUUUGAUUAUUCGUAAUUACUAUAGUAUCUAUUUGAAACUUAGACGCGAUCCAGUGUUGUGAUCAAAAAUAUUGAGAUUGUCAUACUUUUUAUUGUACGUGACUGGUGAAAAAAUCCCUUGAUAGUGUUGAAAAGCUGUUGAUUAUAAGAAAAAUGGAAUUGAAUUUAUUUUUAAGACAAAAGCUGUAUAAUAAAAGUUUUUUUAUACGCGUAUACGUCUAGUUUAUCCGCAAAAAAAAUCCCUCUUACACACUUAUUUCUGAAUUGCCUGUUCGGUACUUUUUUGACGAGAUUAUAACAGCAGUACGAUCUCGGUAGUUUCGGUAAUCGAUUUUACUGAGGCUCAGUAAAACAACUGUCAAAAUCGUAUGGAAAAGGUAAACAAUGCAUUUUUGCUGAACGAGUUCGGUGCUCAGCAGUUUUAAUCUCGUCAAAAAAUUACCGAACUCGGUAAUCAAAAUUAAGUGUGUAGAGAACAGACUUUAUGAUCGGAAGAAUGCGAGUAACUUCAACAACAACAAAUGCAUAAGAGGUACAUACCACAGACAAACAGACGAAACGCCUAGAACAAUUUUAGUGAAAAUUCAUCGCCCAGUUCACACUAUCACCACCUGGUGGAAAUGUUUCACGAAACACUGCGUUGUGCAGUAUCGUCAUCAGAAGGCGCUAGUGUGAAACGUCAAACGCAAAGAAAAACGAUGGCGCUCUUCUUGUUAUGAAAGCCACAACCAAGAUUCAAAAUGAUCGUUGAAGGCGUGGUCAAUGAAAAUUUCGCCAGUGUUACGUUUGUUUGUCUGUAUACAUACCUGACAAUGCUCACGAAAAAAACAAAAAAAUACUACCGCUAUGAAUAUUAAAAAUUGUAUAGUAUUUUUUUUCUUCAGCCACCAACACCAAACAAGUAAGUUAAAAUUAAUAAGUGAUUUUGUUUAUUAUAAUCUAACGAACAAGAUGAACAAUCGCUUUCUCAAAGGUCUUCAACUCAACGCUCUCUUGUAGACCGUUUGAUGAAAAAAAAUGUUCAAAAGAGUUACGAAAUCUCACCGAAAGCACCAUAGAUAAACUGAAAGAGACUGGUUAUGCCCAAAUGUCCACAUUGUGUACAAAAUUACGCAUUUGCACGUCCUGCCGUCUAGAAUUUGACAAACGAGCCAUCUGUAUAUCAUCGGUAAAGCAGGGCGCAGGAAGUUCGAAAACGACAACAACUGAGAAAUUGCCAUCAGCGACAUCUGUUUAAACAAUUUAAUUACGCCCCUUUUCAAAAAUGCCCUGUAAUAUUCUUCAACAUCUAUACCCAUUUCAAUAUUUUUAACGUUGCAAAACACGCUUUCAACAUUCAUCUUGAAGAAGAGGGAAAACACUUGUCCUCAAAUGUAACAGCAAAUUAAUGAAUAAUCGACUAAUGCGCGGAGGGCGUGAUAAAAUCGGAACAUUACGGUACAUAGUAUAUUAUAUUAUAUGUAUAUAUAAUAUAUAAUAAAAUCAACUUGUUUUACUCACGCAAGGCCAUUAACAAUAAAAUCAGCAUCAAACUUCAAUUUCCGGCCGAAAUAAUUUACACUAAAAAAAAUUAUUACUAAAUGUGAAAAUUGUGAAAUGUUUGAAUUGUCAUAACUUUUUUGUUUAUUUUCAUGGUAGAUUGCUAAUACAAUGGACCGUUUUCUCUAAAAAAAUACGUUGAUAAAAAGAUAGGGUUUUGAGAUAUUUGAGUUUUUGUGACAAAAAUGAUAUUUUUUAAUGUUAAAAAAGAUUUUUUUCACAGUGUAUAUUUUCUUAGGAAUCGCCAUUUAGUUAUCUAACUUUGCUGAACAAUAAAAUCAGCAUCAAAUCGCGAUUCCCGGCCGAAAUAAUUUACACAGAAAAUUUUUUUUUACUAAAUGUAAAAAUUGUGAAAUUUUUGAAAUGUUAUAACUUUUUUGUUUUUUAGUUUACCAUCACCAAAUUUUUAUGGUAGAUUGCUAAUACAAUGGACCGUUUUCCCUAAAAAAUUCAAGUUGGUAAAAAGAUAGGGGUUUGAGAUAUUUGAGUUUUUGUGACAAAAAUGAUGUUUUUCAAUGAUAAAAUAGAUUUUUUUUCACAGUGUAUAUUUUCUUAGAAAUCACCAUUUAGCUAUCUAACUUUGCUGAAAAAUUCAUAACAAUCGAACAAUCCGUUUUUGCUGUGCAUAUUUUUGAAUAUUUUUGAACCAUUUUCACAUACACCCUUUUGAAAAGUUAGUCGUGGCUCUAAAUAAAAAUUUGAUAUCGAAAAAUGGCGAUUUAGAUGGAACUGAAAAACUGUGCAAAGUUUCAGUUCAAUAGAAAAUCAUGAAUUAAAAAUUUUCCUUAAUUUUGAUGCUGUUGCUUGGAAUCGCUCAGCAUGCCUCUCAGAUAAGUGUUCUUAAAACGCACUUUCACAGUUAUUAGAUAAAAAUCUUUUUGCUGACUAAGUAAUUGCGCUUUCGUUUUCGUAUAUCGUGUGGAAGACACAAAGAUAUUCCAAAACCUCCGAAACAAAAAAAAUCCUGAAAAGUUUUAGACGGAACACCUUUAACUCGGUCUUACUGAAUAGCUCCGCGUCUACCGGCUGCGUUAUAAGGACCCAUUAGACAUUUCCGGUAUUACUCUAACCACAUUCGAGCUUCUACCCUUUACAUCCCAUUCGAGUAAAAUGUAGGUCUCUAAUUCAAUUAUUAAAGCCUCCUAUUGUCUGUCGUCUUCGUAAUCCCAACAACCAUAUGCGCAAGCAACCAUUUCUGGGCAAUUAUUGCAGCCAUUUGGAAAAUCACAGUUCCACGCUCCUUCGCAGCAGCAGCAACAACAACAGCUCUCAACCCGCAGUAAUUGCACUUCUUCAGGAAACACCAAGUGACCUACAGAACUGCAUUUCAACGUCAGUCGUUACAAUAAGCGCGUUUCACUUAAUUUGAUCCAUUCAAAACGUGAACGAACGCGCGCACUCGCACUUACAGACACACACACACAUAUACCUAACCGAGUUUCCCAUGGAGGAACUACUGUCUUAAAGGUGCAAUUGUGAUGAUUAAACAAAAUAAAUAAAACUGAUGAAUGGAUGUUUCUGUUUCUGCCACUGCCACAAGUCUGAAUGGUUGUUACAACCAGGCACGGGGCCCGGUAAAACCAAACAGAAAUGAAUGCGAACUACUACUGACUGGUGCAGCAAUAUGCGCGGUAUGGCGGGAAAAGGUGUUUGCGACAAUAGAUCGUUACUGUCAGUUAUCAUCAAUUUGAAUUGUUCUUUCGAAACUGUUUGGUUAAAUAUUUGUUUUAACCCUUUGAAGCCGAAAUUUUUCCAAGCGUUAUUAUAGAGAUUUUUUACGUAUUUCUGUGGUUUUGGUGCUCAACAGUAUAGAAAGGGUAGAAUAUGAUGCAGAAUAUAUUUUUGGAUAUUGUAGGUCAUCUGAACUGUUCUUGAGUUUAGAUCCUAAAGUCUACGGGUGUAACGGUAACUUCAUUCAUUAUACAUAUAAGGCUACGAUUUGUAGUCUAUCAUGUCGAGUAAGUCUUCUGAAAGUUCAAUGGACAUCAUCAGAUCGGCUGGGGUCACUCAAACUAUUGUGAUGUUUGAAAUCUAGUAUAUGCAGAAAUUGAAGUUUCUGUUUUGGCUAUAUAGAGUAUGUUGUAUAACACUAGUUUACAGCAUUUUUGAACUCGGUAAGCUGAUGAUCGUUUUUGGUGUAGAAUCAUGCCCCGAGUUCGAAAACGCGAAGGAAAAAAAUUACAGUAGAGCGGAAAUUUUUUCGACUUUCCAUACAAGGUCGAUGAUUUGAAAUCGAUUUUUGUUCUAUUUAUAAGCAAAGUCGCUUACUUCACAUAUCUCAUCCUCCGUAACCAUGGUUCCGAUUGAGCUGAAUUUUUUACUGUAACUAGCCUACAUAUGAUAUGUCAAAUAAACGAUGAGAAAGAAUUUUUAAAUUGUUUUUAUCUUAUUGAAAAAAAUACAUUUCUUCAUAUAUUUUUGGAAAUUUUGCUAAAAUUUAAGGAGAUUGUCCCCAAAAUUCGUCAAUAUCUUGAUCAAUCUAACGCAAAAACUGCAUUCAGAUGAUCGAAUGGUAUUAUAUUCAGCUUUUACUUUAUGGAAAAAGAUUUAAAUUUGAUUGAACAAAACGCAAGAUAUUUGAUUUUUUUUAAAUUCCAUAUUUUAAAAAGUUGUUAAACUCGAUGUUGAGCUAAAACUCAAAAACUGUUCUACUUUAAAUUUUUUGAAGCACGGUUUCGAAAUCAGCGCUAAAUUAUGCUUCAAAAAUUUUGGUCGUUGACAGAAGUUCACGACUUUCGUUUUAUUUUGUAAACUAGUGUAAUCUAUUAAACUUACUGGAGCUCAAAGAAUACAAUCAGAAACUAUGACAUCGGGAUAUUCAGAAUCGUACUCACUGUCCAGCAAUAUGGACAAUAUGCAACAUGGAGUCUACAGCCGUAAUAAUAUCUUUUUGGAUAUUCUGAGUUACACAACAUUACUAAUUGUAAUGAUUGUAUCUACUUCAAUUACACAGCGCAACAUUUUUUUGUCUCAAGAGCAAACUUAUGUGUCUCCGAAGGAUUUUGGACCGCUGAAUCCGAAUCCGGGCUCAGAUUUUCUCUAACACGUCACAAUUUUGAGCUAUACCUCAAUUUAUAGGGACAAAUAUGCGAUUUUGGCCUUUUUUGACUGCAAGCCAUUAAGCUUGGAAAUGUUUUUUUUAAGCAAUCAAAAGGUUAAUUGGUCAAUUAACAUCUAAACUAACGACUCAUGCAAAAUAUUUCGUUUUAACUAACCAAAUUUGAUAGAUUUGAGCAUUUAAAGUUGGUAUGAAAACUUGCAUGCAACUUUUGGAGGAUGACUUGUAUGGGAAAUAUCGUACCUAACAUAAAUCGCUUAAAACUGUCAAAUUCAAUUUGGUAAAACGAAAUAUUUUGCAUGAGUCGUUAGUUUAGAUGUUAAUUGACCAAUUAACCUUUUGAUUGCUUAAAAAAAAUAUUUCCAAGCUUAAUGGCUUGCAGUCAAAAAAGCCCAAAAUCGCAUAUUUUGCCCUAUAAAUUGAGGUAUAGCUCAACAUUGUGACGUGUUAGAGCAAAUCUGAUUCAGCGGCCCAAAAUCCUUCGGAGACACAUAAGUUUGCUCUUGAGACAGACAAAAAGCUAUUUUUUGUUACGCUGUGUUAUUUAGGCUUAACAACAAAUGAGCAUGAUCAUGAGCAUAGGUGACCGCACACUUCGUAGUUGCUACUCCGUGAUUGACUAGAGCUAGCGGAAUUGCACAGAGAACCAAUUGAUGGGGCUUGGGAUUAGCACACCUUCUUCAAUGUACGCGUUCCGAGUGUAGUAACGGAACUGCAUCGUUUGGUGGUUGAAUUAAGAAUGAAUUAUUUAUCCCAAGAUGUCAGUACAUGUUCUUUUCAAUGAUUGCUUAGAUGCUACACAGAGAACUCAAACUUUAAUAGGUCAAUAACGGCGCCGGCCACGUCCUUACGGUCAACCGGGGAAGGGAAGGGAUGCUAGUUGGACAACCGUUGCUACUAGAGGUUGUAUAUACUACUGUGCCCUCCACAGUUGUCACGGGAAGGAGUUUUUGUUAGUUGGGUUGGGAGGUAUUGGUAGUUACAUAAAUCAGGAUUCACUUUGGUAAGCGUUGCAGUCUAUGUAACCGUGAGCAUACACAAAACAUAUAUUCACAGAAUUGUGCCACCUCACAGUUUGGAGGAAUGGUGAGACCUUGAAAAUUCUUAAUAGGAAUUUAGAGAAAGCCUUAUGAAACCAAAGAUAUCUUGCGUCACCUCGCAAUUAGACCUGGUGAACCAAUGUACAAUGUUACUUGCUUUUAAUACUAUGGACACAAAAUAUUGAGACAAAAUUUUGUGUCGACACUAAUUAUGACGAAACGUACUUAUUAAGGAAAACAACACUGAAACAUAUUGGAAAACAAAAUACUGAGGCCAGCACCUUUCAGUGGCGGUUGGCGGACUGUACAGUAAUAUAGGAAAAUUUUAUUGAAAACAUGUGAAUAGCGAGAAUUUGCGCCGACACUUGAAGUGGCGAUCUUUGAAAUGCUUGUAGUGUAUAUAUACGAAAGAUGAGUAUGAGUAAUAUACACAAACAGAUACAUGAUAGACAAAGUGGAAGAGAUAAUUUCCAAGAUGCAACCUUCGACAUUGACAACAAAAACCAAGUCGACACUCAUGGUGACGAACUAUACAAAUUUGAUUAAAAAAUUUUCAAAGCUACAUACACACAUAAUGAAUCAAUAAAAUAAUGAAAAUACAGAAAGAAAACACCGAAGAAGCAACAAGGAACAAACUCACCAGAUAAUCCCUCUGGCACGCAUGUUCACUCUAUUAAAUCACUCGCUUGGGCUCCCGAUUGAUGGGUUACAUGCUAUAGCACACACAACAUAACAGAACUGAACUAGAAUCGCAAUCAUGGCCCAGAAUCAGCAUCUCCCCACGCACACUUACUAAGCUAUCAUCGCGCGCUUUCCCAAAACGAACCGCCGUUUGCGAGGGAACUAAAGAAGAAAAAAAACCACAUACACGACGACUCGCGCACCGACGAACCCGAGCUAUCACUUUUCACUGAAAUGACGCAAUACUAGUAGGAGCCCGACUAGAAGCACCUUACACUAACAAGACUAUAACACAACUAUGACAACUGUUGUUCGAAAUAACAUAAAUUAAUAUAUUUUUGUUAAUUCGUAACAUAAAUUCGUAACACAUUAAAUGUUAUGUUUGUAAUAUUUUUUGUAUAUUUUUGUGUAAUAUAAUAGUGUUCAUCAAAAUUUAUUAAAUUAACACAAAUUUAACACAUUAACACAAAAUAUCACGAAAUGUUGAUGGUUUUUGUUAUUUUGGUCACUCAAGCCAAAAGAUUUAUAACGAAAUUUAUAACAAAUUUGUUCUGAAAAAAAAACAGAAUUGUUAUAAUUUAGUUAUUGUUAGCCAAGUUUAAUCUAACAAAGUUUAUCAUAAUCUUUUUAUAAUUAUAUCUCUAAUUGUUUGUUUUAAGCCCAGUUUUGUGUUAAAAGAAAUCGCUAAAGAAAGUUCUCGACUGGUUCUUGGUAGAAAACUUUCCACAGUGGCUAUUUAAAUUGGCAUUUCUUCGCAACUGCGUACUGAGAAAAAUGGUUUCUUGAGCGAUUCAGACAAAGAAUAUCCCAUGCAUCAAGAUAGGCCAAAACUUUUUUCUGAACUGCAAACAGCCCUUUAACUAGAACGUGUUUUGAUAGAUUUUUUGUUAUUAUUACUAAUAACGGUACAUGUUUUAUAACAACCGUUGUUACAAAAAUCAUUGUAACAAAAUAACAUAACCUUACGUUAGCAAAAACUGUAAAAGUUAAUAGUAACAUAACCUGUAAUGAAUUUGUUUUUCCCAUCUAAUAUUACGAAUAGAGGGUCUUGUUUCCCGGACUGAAAAAAAUCCUGGGAUUCGGGAUUUUUAUUUUUCAAAUCCCGGGAUUUCCCGGGAUCUCGGGAUAAAUCCAAAUUUUCCAAAAACCAAAAAAAAAAACAUGCAUAAAAUGUGUUUCCAAACAUAUUUUUUGAUUUUUUGAUUUAUUUGAACUUGAGAAAAGGAUGAUAUUUCGCGAAAAAAAAAAACAAAUAGCCCCAUUUAAACCAUGUAAGACAUGACAAAGAUCUGGAUCAAGGUAAGUAAAAGGAAGGUAAUCCAAUAUGCUAAAUCAUACAAUCCGCCAUAUUGGAAUUUGGAAUGACAGCUGGCAAGUUUGUUUUGAUUUGGAAGUUUAUCAAUGAUAGCAAGCCAUGACCGAAAAGGUCACUUCAUGAUGAUUUCAACCAACGAGCUUGUGUCCUAAUUUAUUGCAUCCAAAUAGCAUUAGCAUUAGCAUUAGCAUUAGCAUUAAGCGAGUCGCACAAAUUCGUAGGUGGUACAGUCCUAGACCGCUGUUAUGAGGGUUGCCUCCUUCCCGUCCGAACCAAAGCACAAAGAUUUGGGACUAAUCUCUGACUCUUAGACAAGACUGACGCAAUCCUCCAAUGGUCGAGCACUGUCCUGGCCACGUCCUUGCGACUGCUGAGGGAUGGGGAAGGAUGGUUAGUUUUGGACACCUAUGAAAAAUGUAGACAACUCUACGAUCUCUCAGGCCUAGGUGUCACGGGACUUUGGGUGUUGUUAGUGGAAGGGUAAACUCCAAAGAAUACGCUUGGUCAACGUUCAGGCACACCAUGGUAAGUCUUCUUCGAAUCAGUUGUCUGACCGAUUCAUCAUGGCUUCCUCGUCGUCUUGAUGGCAUUUGGUUGAAUUACUAGAUUCUUCGGUUGAUAAUCUGAAAUAUAAAAUAAUAUUAACAACGUACGUCAAAUAAGCUACAGUUACAUAUUUUUACAAUAUUAUUUAUAUCAUGCGAUAAAUUUACCUCAAACCUGCUGAAAUAAAAUGUUGAUUAGCAGUACAUUUAAACAAAAUUAACUACAAAACACAAAAAAAAGCAUCAAACUUUGAUCUUGGAGUAUUUAUAAAUACGGUAAAUAUCAAGAUCAAAAUUUGAUUUGGUAGAUCUUACACCGCAACGCACCAUUCUAAGGUGAUCUACCCACGUUACGGGUUUCCUAAUUUAUUGCAUCCAAAUAAUGCAAUAACCCCAAUGGUAUGCUCUAGACUAGAGAAAUAUUACCCGUCCCGUGCGAAACUUCUCUGAAACCCUGCAGAGUAAUCUUGGCAACAGUUUGUUACACAUAAAGCCUCCGGGUAAAAUUCCCAACUGCUGCCGAAGGUACACCAUCACGCCUUUCCUCAAGUUUCUGAUCUGUUGGUUUUUCUUUAAGCUUUCGGCAGUAAAGAUUCGGCAUGCGUAUAUGGCUAAAGUUGAGCGUAUGGCGUGAAUUUAUCACAAUAAUUAACUUGCAAUUCUACAACAAGCUCGACAACAAGCACCUGUCUUGCCACUGCGGAAAUUUGUUUCACUUGUUUGGAAGUAAAUAACAACCCGUAGCAACCCUAGCAACCUCACAGAAACCGAUAGAGUAGCGCGUAAACAAACUCGCCAGCAAUCAACUCCUACACCCCCGCCAUAAACCUCUCUCCGCGUCUACUUACUGCUUAUAUGCUAGUACCUUCCAUUAAAUUUACCUUGAUCUGGAUGGAAUUCGUACUCAAUUUAUCGUUGAUUUUUUUAAACUUAUUUCAAACUAUAUUUUCAUUCCUAGAGGAACUAAUUAACAAAGACUCCACGGAAUUUAAGGGGAAAUUAUUUCAUAGAUCCAAGUGGCCUCUCCAUAUGAUAAGAGCGGUAAUAUGACCCAUUUUCUAUUAGCUUUCAACUGCUUUUUACAGAACUUAGCUAAAAUAUCUAGAAAAAAAGUUAUUAAGUAAAUUAAUCCUUGGUGUCAUCGACCAAAAGUUUGGGGUCACCCCUCAAUAUGAUGUAUCGGCCAAAAGUUUGGGGUCACUUUCGUAAAACAUGGAAAAGUGAUUUGGUGAUAUCUUCGUCAUCUGUAGUUCAAUUUUAAUUCUUUUUGGCUCAUUUCAAAGAUAAUUAACUAAAUUUACGUUUGAUAUCUUCAACUUAACGUAUUUAACGAUUUUUGUAUAUAAAAAUGUUAUGUAAAGUUAGCACAUUUUACCACGCUUCAAAAAAUGAGGCAACUUUACGUUAAGUUUUAGUGUGUAAAUUUCAACAAAUAUGUGUGGUUCAAUGUCUAUGCAGUAAGUAUCAUUCAUUUUGUUUCAAAUAAGCCAAGAAGAAUUAAAAUUGAAUGAAAGAUGACAAAGAUAUCAACAAAUCACUUUUCCAUGUUUUACGAUAGUGACCCCAAACUUUUGGCCGAUACAUCAUUUUGAGGGGUGACCCCAAACUUUUGGUCGAUGACAUCAAGGAUUAAUUUACUUAAUAACUUUUUUUCUAGAUAUUUUAGCUAAGUUCUGUAAAAAGCAGUUGAAAGCUAAUGAGGAAUUCCACAGAGUCAUGUCAGUCGAUCCUGAGCGACCAUUUCAAAAAUAUCUGAAACUUUACCCAGUUUUUCAACUUCAUCUAAAUCACCAUUUUUUUAUAUUAAACCUUCAUAUUCACUCACGACUAACUUUUCAAAAGGGUGUAUGCGAAAAUAGUUCAAAAAUAUUCUAAAAGCUGUACAGCAAAAACGGAUUGUUCGAUUGUUAUGAUUUUUUCAGCAAAGUUAGAUAACUAAAUGAAGAUUCCUUAGAAAAUAUACACUGUAAAAAAUUUCUUAUUUUACUUUAAAAAAAUAUGAUCUUUGUCACUAAAACUCAAAUAUCUCAAAACCCUAUCUUUUUACCAACGUCAAUUUUUUAGGGAAAAUAGCCCAUUAUAUCAGCUAUCUACCAUAAAAUUUUGGUGAUGGUAAACUGAUAAACAAAAAAGUUAUGACAUUUCAAACAUUUCACAAUUUUUACAUUUACUAACAAAAAAAAUUUUUUUUUCUGUGUAAAUUAUUUCGUGAAUUAUAUUUUGAUGCUGAUUUUAUUGUAAAGGCUACCGCCUGAAUUAAACAAGUUGUUUUCAUGAUAUUUUUGUUGGUUUAUUCAUAAUUACUAUAGUAUCUAUUUGAAAGUUAGACGCGAUCCAGUGUUGUGAUAAAAAAUAUUGAGAGUGUCAUACUUUUUAUUGUACGUGACUGAUGAAAAAAUCCCUUGAUAAGCCUAGUUUGGUGUUUGAAAGGAAUCGCUCAAGAAAUUUCUUGACCGAUUCCUGGCAGAAACUUUCCACUGUGACUGCCAUUUGAACUGUCAUUUCUUCGCAACUGCGUACUGUGAUCGAAGAAAAACGAUUUCUUGGGCGAUUCAGGCAAGGAAUUUCCCAUGCAUCAAGAUAGGCCGAAAAAUUCCUUCUGAACUGCAAACAGCGCUAUAGUUGUGAAAAGCUGUUGAUUAUAAGAAAAAUGGAAUUAAACUUAUUUUUAAGACAAAAGCUGUAUAAUAAAAGUUUUAUAUACGCGUAUACGUCUAGUUUAUCUGCAAAAAAAAAUACCUCUUAGAGAACAGACUUUAUGAUCGGAAGAAUGCUAGUAACUUCAACAACAACAAAUGCAUGAGAGGUACAUACCACAGACAAACAGACGAAACGCUUAGAACAAUGUUCGUGAAAAUCCAUCGCCCAGUUCACACUACCACCACCUGGUGGAAAUGUUUCACGAAACAUUGCGUUGUGCAAUAUCGUCAUCAGAAGACGCUAGUGUGAAACGUCAAACGCAAAGAAAAGCGAUGGGCGCUCUUCUGGUUAUGAAAGCCACAAGCAAGAUUCAAAAUGAUCGUUAAAGGCGUGGUCAAUGAAAAUUUCGUCAGUGUUACGUUUGUUUGUCUGUAUACAUACCAUGACAAUGCACACGAAAAAGCAAAAAAAUACUACCGCUAUGGAUAUUAAAAAUUUUAUAGUAAUUUUUUCUUCAGCCAAGCAAACAACACCAAACUAGUCAGUUAAAACUAAUAAGUGAUUUUGUUUAUUAUAAUCUAACGAACAACAUGAACAGUCGCUUUCUCAAAGGUCUUCAACUCAACGCUCUCUUGUAGACCGUUUGAUGAAAAAAAAAAUGUUCAAAAGAGUUACGAAAUCUCACCGAAAGCACCAUAGAUAAACUGAAAGAGACUGGUUAUGCCCAAAUUGAAUACAAAUUUACGCAUUUGCACGUCCUGCCGUCUGGACUUUGACAAACGAGCCAUCUGUAUAUCAUCGGUAAAGCAGGGCGCAGGAAGUUCGUAAACGACAACAACUGAAAAAUUGCCAGAAGUGCUAAGUGCAGAGAGUCAUGCCACCGUACCAUCAGUGAUAUCUGUUUAAACAAUUUAAUCACGCCUCUUUUCAUAAAUGCUUUGAAAUAUUCUUCAACAUCUAUACCCAUUUUAAUGAUUUUAACGUUGCAAAACACGCUUUCAACAUUCAUCUUGAAGAAGAGGGAAAACACGUGUCCUCAAAUGUAACAGCAAAUUAUAAUGAAUAAACGACUAAUGCGCGGAGGGCGUGAUAAAAUCGGAACAUUACUGUACAUAUAGUAUACAUAAUACAUAAUAAAAACAGCUUGUUUUACUCACGCAAUGCCAUUAACAAUAAAAUCAGUAUCAAACUGCGAUUUCCGGUCGAAAUAAUUUACACUAAAAAAAAACAUUACUAAAUGUAAAAAUUGUGAAAUGUUUGAAUUGUCAUAACUUUUUUGUGUAUUAGUUUAUCAUCACCAAAUUUUUAUGGUAGAUUGCUAAUACAAUGUACCGUUUUCCCUAAAAAAAAUUACGUUGGUAAAAAGAUAAGCUUUUGAGAUAUUUGAGUUUUUGUGAUAAAAAUUAUAUUUUUUAAUGUUAAAAAAGAUUUUUUUUUCACAGUGUAUAUUUUCUUAGGAAUCACUAUUUAGUUAUAUAACUUUGCUGAACAAUAAAAUCAGCAUCAAACUGCGAUUUUUGACCGAAAUAAUUUACACAGAAAAAAAUAUUUACCAAAUGUGAAAAUUGUGAAAUGUUUGAAAUGUUAUAACUUUUUUGUUUAUUAGUUUACCAUCACCAAAUUUUUAUGGCAGAUUGCUAAUACAAUGGACCGCCUUCUCUUAAAAAAUUACGUUGGUAAAAAGAUAGGGUUUUGAGAUAUUUGAGUUUUUGUAACAAAAAUGAUAUUUUUUAAUGUUAAAAAAGAUUUUUUUUCACAGUGUAUAUUUUCUUAGGAAUCACCAUUUAGUUAUCUAACUUUUCUGAAAAAUUCAUAGCAAUCGAACAAACCAUUUUGGCUGUGCAGAUUUUUGAAUAUUUUUGAACCAUUUUCACAUACACCCUUUUGAAAAGUUAGUCGUGAUUCAAAAUAAAAAUUUGAUAUCGAAAAAUGGCAAUUUAGAUGGAACUGAAAAACUGUGCAAAGUUUCAGUUCAAUAGAAAAUCAUGAUUUUAAAAAUUUCCUUAAUUUUGAUGCUGUUGCUUGGAAUCGCUCUAAUAGAAAAUGGGUCAUAUUACCGCUCUUAUCUUAAAAUUUGGUCGACCCAACUUCCAGCGACACUGCCGUAAGUUUAUAUUCAUUUUUUAGAAAAUUUGGCAACUUUGGGUUAAGUUUACAUACAAAUUUUUUUGAAAAAGUUUCUUUUAAAUCAUGUUCAAAGUUUCUUUGACUUAUUAUCUUUUGAAUGAAACCUAGGGUUUUGAAAUCGGACGCAAAUUGGCGGAGAUAUGGGCCUAAAAAAAUGACAUGUUUUUGAGGGGGUGACCCCAAACUUUUGAACGGGAGUGUAUAUAGAUAUAAAAAUUACAAUAAAUCGGAGAAAAUUGGGUUAAUUUGAAACUCCAUGCAUUUUGUAUGGGAUUAAAAAUUAGAGAAAAACUUUAAACCUCAUUUACUCGAAAGUGGGUUUUUGUCAUUUACACCCCUUUGCUUCAGGUGUGGGUAGAUCACCUUAGAAUGGUGCGUUGCGGCGUAAGAUCUACCACCACAUCAAAUUUCGAUCUUGUUAAUGUUUUCAUGCCUAAAGUUGCCGAUCAGUGGUGAGCAGACAUUCCAGGAUCGAGUUUUGAUGUGCUUUUUUUUAAUGUUUUGUUGCUAAUCCACAUUUUAUUUCAGGAGUAAUCAGGUAAAUUCUAUGUUUAUAAAUUCUUAUUAAUCAUGAUUAUGAUUGAUUUUCAAACAAAUGUAUAACAAAACAUACACAACACGCACUGACAUACAUUACAUAUACAUAUCUCAUCAUAUAUUGGGAAAGAAAGGGACCAUCAGGGCACCCGAUUGAAACGAUUUGGACAGGAGCUUGGAACUGCCUCCUCCUUGUUGUUAACAUUUCGUGGAUUGAGGGCGGGCUCUUCGACCCCAUCUAUUGGGAGUAUUCUGUCAAUCGAGGGCUUGAUUUUGCAGUUGCUCGUGAGAACUUUCUUCUGGAAGGAGAUUCUUUCCCCCCUGACGCGGGUUUCGCGCAAGUGUCUCUGCUUGCGGGUCCGCACAACCCUUUUUGGCUCUUCAUACAGGAGAAUGACUGAUCACUAAGAACAGCACAAUCUUGAUCAAAUCGCUUUUCAGAUUAUUCCUAUAGGAUUAUUCCUAUAGGCAGCUACAAUAUCAUCAUCAUACUAUUAUGCAAAGUAUUGCUUUUUAAUGUGAUUCCUGAUGGUUUUGGUAUCCAUAAUAUUAUAAGGAUUGUCGGGGCCCGUGGCGCAGUGGUCCACACGUUCGCUUCAUAAGCGGAUGGUCAUGGGUUCGAACCCAGCCCCGGCACUUGCAAUUUUUCGUCAGUUGCUCUUCCCGCAGAGAGCAGCUCACCCUAAAACGAAAGUACACAGCGAAUGAGUAACUUACGAAAAGACAAAGGAUUUUUCACUCAUAUUUGCGUGCGACUGGAUCAGCACAAAAAAUGUGCUGAUCCGGGUUUACACAAAUUUGCGUGAAUUUUCACACAAGUUUGCAUGAAAUCUUUUGUCUUUUCGAUCGCUGCGUGAAAGUUACUCCUUGCUCUGUGUACAUCGAUCUUUCCGUGCUGGCACCUGACCCUCUUUGGAGCAUAUGCUCUAACGGACCCGGAAAACUUGGAUAUCGGCGAACCGCAACUCAUAAUGGACGACCCCCAAUUGGACUGGAAAAGGAACAGCAGCCACACAUCAGCAUCAUCGUGUGCUCAUCAUUCUACUGUGGACAGGGUAGAAACAUGAAAGCAGCACAAAGGCACCAGUUCGAUAUAGUUUAAUUAGAAUAGCAUACAUUUAGGCGCUGUACAAUGUGUAAAGUGCAGCGUCCAAUGGACUACCUGCAUCGGUAUCCGACAGAUUCCACCGCGAGAGGCGCUUCAUGCAUAAUUGAACUCUAUCGGAAACUAAUGGAAACUGUUGAAUGUUCCGUCAAACUCCAAUAGAUGGCGACUCUAUAGUGUAAUCAAUUUUACAGUGGUUGUCCCGAAUCAGGGUUAAACUGCAGUUUAUGAAAUUUCGCUUUUGAUUGAACUUUGAAUAGAAAUUUCAAAACACCUUUUAGUACGCUGUUUUUAUUUUUAAAAUUUGUUCUAAUAAAAUGAAUUACAUGCAAUUAUUUUUAUUAAAAAUGAGCAUUAAAAAAAUAUUUAUUUUUCUUUUUGAUCUCAACUAGUGCGGUAUUAGGUGCAGUACGGUAAAGUUGCUACCACAACAUUUUGACAGAUCAUUUGUUUUGGCCAAUCAGCAUCAGCACCGCGGAGUCGCGUUCGCAUGCAGUGCAGUAGCCGAACAACACAAACGAUCGAAAACGAGGCUGAUAAAAUUUAAAAUUUAAGCAUUUUGCUUGUUUUGUGAUAAAAAAUCAUCGCGGAUGUGUUAAAAAAAGUUAUUCUACCGUUGGAAACGAUGGGCUAGACGAUGGAUACCUCGCCCACCAAGGAAAAGCCUGAAAUUUUCGCUGGAGCAGACCUGGAGUCCAAAAUCAUCGACAUCGAUGGAGAAAAAACGGCCACACAGGAGAUCAACGAAGUGCUGCAAAAAUGUACCAAGAACGGUUCAACUUACAUCGCCAAGCGACCGUGAAAAAGUUUCCCCAAGAGUAUGGAUAUUCGGCAUAAUUCAGGAAUUUUCAUCGACGUUGCUUCACAUGCCAUACGGUUCAACAAUCUCACCGGAUUUGCCUGUAAUAUGUGGUUGGCGGACAGGAGAAUGGGCUCGAAUCAUACGCAUCGCAGCUGUACAGAAAAAAAACACUGAUAGGAUAUUGUGAACCGUAGUUCCACACCCAUUGUACAAAAAGGACGCCCCUCAGCUCAUUGCGGUUUCAAAUGAUCGCUGCGGGCGUAAACAGUGCCUUCGCGGAGGCCAAACCUGAAGGUCAUCAAGUGCAUCCAAGCCGCAGAUUUCGUGCAAUGAAAUUCAUAGAGAAAGGUUCUGUUUCAGAUCAUUGGGAGGCGACUGUGACUAGCAGCAUAUGGCUGACAUGUAUAUAUCAGUUUACAGUCCAACCGCUAGCAGAUACAAGAUUUUUGUUAAAAAAUUUACUUGAGGGUUAAAUGUAAGCAAUAAAAAGGUAAAUAAGGUGUACGAUUCAAACCUUGUGUCGACUAGUCUCAAUCCAUAUUGCAUUCCUCCAACUUUCGUUGAACAAUUUCUGCUCUUCGUCGAACAAUUUCUGCGCCCUCAUUUUGAGAUUCAGUUUUCUUGUGAAAAUCACACUAAUCCCUUCAUAUGCCAUAGAAACUUAGACGAUCAGGCCUGUUCUGCUAUGAGGAGAGAAAGUUAUUUCAGCAACAAGAAGCCCAAAAAACGAUUUUAAAGUUUUGAUGAGAUUCAAGCCAUGUGCCCCACCUCACAAUCCGGGAAAACUUGGUGAAUCAGUUUAGAUUUUCCCUGACUAAACGCAAGAAUCACAUUUGAACCAAUUCAAGGUUUUAUAAGAAACAAGUUGAUUCAAAAGUCAUGUGUUGCGGCACCUCGCAACCUGGGAGAACUUGGUGAACCAUUUCAGAUUUUUUCUGACUAAACGCAAGAACCACUUAUGAACCAUUUCAAAGUUUUAUAAGAAACAAUUUGGUUCAAAAGUCAUGUAAUUCAUCACCUCGCAACCUGGGAGAACUUGGUGAACCAGUUUAGAAUUUCUCUGACUAAACGCAAGAAUCACUUAUGAACCAGUUCAAGGUUUUAUAAGAAACAAAUUGAUGCAAAAGUCAUGUGUUGCGUCACCUCGCAACCUGGGAGAACUUGGUGAAUCAGUUUAGAAUUUCUCUGACUAAACGCAAGAACCACUUAUGAACCAUUUCAAAGUUUUAUAAGGAACAAAUUGAUUCAAAAGUCAUGUUAUGCGUCACCUCGCAACCUGGGAGAACUUGGUGAACCAUUUCAGAUUUUCUCUGACUAAACGCAAGAAUCUCUUAUGAACCAAUUCAAGGUUUUAUAAGAAACAAGUUGAUUCAAAAGUCAUGUGUUGCGUCACCUCGCAACCUGGGAGAACUUGGUGAACCAUUUCAGAUUUUUUCUGACUAAACGCAAGAACCACUUAUGAACCAUUUCAAAGUUUUAUAAGAAACAAAUUGGUUCAAAAGUCAUGUAAUGCGUCACCUCGCAACCUGGGAGAAAUUGGUGAACCAUUUCAGAUUUUUUCUGACUAAACGCAAGAAUCACUUAUGAACCAUUUCAAAGUUUUAUAACAAACAAAUUGGUUCGAAAGUCAUGUAAUGCGUCACCUCGCAACCUGGGAGAACUUGGUGAAUCAGUUUAGAAUUUCUCUGACUAAACGCAAGAAUCACUUAUGAACCAAUUCAAGGUUUGAUAAGAAACAAGUUGAUUCAAAAGUCAUGUGUUGCGUCACCUCGCAACCUGGGAGAACUUGGUGAACCAUUUCAGAUUUUUUCUGACUAAACGCAAGAACCACUUAUGAACCAUUUCAAAGUUUUAUAAGGAACAAAUUGAUUCAAAAGUCAUGUAAUGCGUCACCUCGCAAGCUGGGAGAACUUGGUGAACCAGUUUAGAAUUUCUCUGACAAAAGGCAAAAAUCACUUAAAAACCAUUUCAAAGUUUUAUAAGAAACAAAUUGGUUCAAAAGUCAUGUAAUUCAUCACCUCGCAACCUGGGAGAACUUGGUGAACCAGUUUAGAAUUUCUCUGACUAAACGCAAGAAUCACUUAUGAACCAGUUCAAGGUUUUAUAAGAAACAAAUUGAUGCAAAAGUCAUGUGUUGCGUCACCUCGCAACCUGGGAGAACUUGGUGAAUCAGUUUAGAAUUUCUCUGACUAAACGCAAGAACCACUUAUGAACCAUUUCAAAGUUUUAUAAGGAACAAAUUGAUUCAAAAGUCAUGUUAUGCGUCACCUCGCAACCUGGGAGAACUUGGUGAACCAUUUCAGAUUUUCUCUGACUAAACGCAAGAAUCUCUUAUGAACCAAUUCAAGGUUUUAUAAGAAACAAGUUGAUUCAAAAGUCAUGUGUUGCGUC